UACGUAGGGGGCAAGCGUUGUCCGGAUUUAUUGGGCGUAAAGAGCGUGUAGGCGGUUUGGUAGGUCCGCUGUGAAAACUCGAGCUCAACCUCGAGACGCCGGUGGAAACCAUCAGACUAGAGUCCGGAAGAGGAGAGUGGAAUUCCUGGUGUAGCGGUGAAAUGCGCAGAUAUCAGGAAGAACACCCGUGGCUAAGGCGGCUCUCUAGUACGGUACUGACGCUGAGACGCGAAAGCGUGGGGAGCCGAACAGG
rnacentral:rRNA from 1 species